AGUGGGAUUAUCGUCUGAACGGAGCCUUUGCCAAAGGAUUUGGUGCCAAGGAUGAUCGCCCGUUUUUGAUCUUGUAAAGCCCCAGCAACAAUCUCCGACGCCGAUGCCGAACCGCCAUUCAACAGAAUAAUUAUGGGUUUGCCAUGCGCAAGGUCACCCUUGCGGGCGUUAAACCUUUGGUGGUCACGUUUCUCACGGGUACGCGUUGAAACAAUCUCACCCUUUUCUAGGAAAGCAUCGGAAACAGCGACUGCCUGAUCCAGAAGUCCCCCUGGAUUAUUGCG
rnacentral:ncRNA from 1 species